rnacentral:lncRNA from 1 species
GGAAAGGAGCAAUCUUUGGCUUGUUGGAGACACCCUCACUCCGUUUUCAGUGUCUGUUUAAUAAGGAGCAGAGCGGAGCCUGUUGAAUAAGCAACAAAGUAGCUCAGUAGGCAGUAGACUGGCUGCCUGCCGAGCGUGUGUGUUGGCCUGGGUCAGCUCCAUCCCUCGAACCAAAAGCAGAGAUCACUGGAGAAGUGUUGCCACCGAGCAGCCAUAGGACUGGCCCUGCUUCCUUCCAUGCCUGUGAAGCCUGUAGGACUCUCCACAAAAGCUGCAGUUGCCGGGAAUCAGAGACAAGGAAACAGGCUCUGAGAGAUUAAGCAACUCAUCCCACUUGCUCAACCAGCAUAUGUGGGAGACCUGACAACCCGCCCUGUGUGGCCGUUUCACAAGCCAACGCCCAGCCACAGGGGACGACUGUUCCUGGGACUGGAAGGCCCUGGGCAAGCCGACUCUAGCACUCUGCAAAACCCCACCUCCCAAAGGAGGGUUGAACUUCUUGGAACCCUUAAAAACUACCAGUGAACUUCAGGAAGUAACCCACGCAACUCUUUCCCAGAAGAGGUCAAUGGUCACAGAAUCGUAAGAAACACCACUCUGACCCCGGGACUUCCUGCCUCCACACUCGGAACAUCUCAAAGUUCAAACUGCUCAGGAACUGACAUCCGGCUGACAGACGGGGAGUGUCGCUCAGUGGUAGAGUGCUUUCCUACAUCGGGAGAGGCCCUGGCUCCUAUCUCCAACUCUGUAAAGAAAAGAUUAAUACUAUGAAACGAAAAUAAACCAGGCUUUAAAGAAAACAAAA